rnacentral:rRNA from 1 species
CCUACGGGGGGCUGCAGUGAGGAAUAUUGGUCAAUGGCCGUAAGGCUGAACCAGCCAAGUAGCGUGAGGGAAGACUGCCCUAUGGGUUGUAAACCUCUUUUAUGCGGGGAUAAAGGUGUCCACGUGUGGAUGUUUGCAGGUACCGCAUGAAUAAGGACCGGCUAAUUCCGUGCCAGCAGCCGCGGUAAUACGGAAGGUCCGGGCGUUAUCCGGAUUUAUUGGGUUUAAAGGGAGCGUAGGCGGACGCUUAAGUCAGCGGUAAAAUUGCGGGGCUCAACCUCGUCGAGCCGUUGAAACUGGGUGCCUUGAGUGGGCGAGAAGUACGCGGAAUGCGUGGUGUAGCGGUGAAAUGCAUAGAUAUCACGCAGAACUCCGAUUGCGAAGGCAGCGUACCGGCGCCCAACUGACGCUGAAGCACGAAGGCGUGGGUAUCGAACAGGAUUAGAUACCCUUGUAGUC